GUCUGGCGGCGAGUGGCGAACGGGUGAGUAAUGUAUCGGAACGUGCCCAGUAGCGGGGGAUAACUACUCGAAAGAGUAGCUAAUACCGCAUACGCCCUACGGGGGAAAGGGGGGGAUCGCAAGACCUCUCACUAUUGGAGCGGCCGAUAUCGGAUUAGCUAGUUGGUGAGGUAAAGGCUCACCAAGGCGACGAUCCGUAGCUGGUUUGAGAGGACGACCAGCCACACUGGGACUAAGACACGGCCCAGACUCCUACGGGAGGCAGCAGUGGGGAAUUUUGGACAAUGGGGGCAACCCUGAUCCAGCCAUCCCGCGUGUGCGAUGAAGGCCUUCGGGUUGCAAAGCACUUUUGGCAGGAAAGAAAUCGCAUGGAUUAAUACUCUGUGUGGAUGACGGUACCUGCAGAAUAAGCACCGGCUAACUACGUGCCAGCAGCCGCGGUAAUACGUAGGGUGCAAGCGUUAAUCGGAAUUACUGGGCGUAAAGUGUGCGCAGGCGGUUCGGAAAGAAAGAUGUGAAAUCCCAGGGCUUAACCUUGGAACUGCAUUUUUAACUCCCGAGCUAGAGUGUGUCAGAGGGGGGUGGAAUUCCGCGUGUAGCAGUGAAAUGCGUAGAUAUGCGGAGGAACACCGAUGGCGAAGGCAGCCCCCUGGGGUGACACUGACGCUCAUGCACGAAAGCGUGGGGAGCAAACAGGAUU
rnacentral:rRNA from 1 species